rnacentral:rRNA from 1 species
ACGGAGCAGUGACACCUCCGCGCCCUGACGGAAUAGGGCGUUGAAGGGCGUAGGCUAUGAUGAUGCCAGGCAAAUCCGGCAUCAGAGCUGAAACCUGAAAGUACGGGGUCCCCUUCGGGGGAACCUGAGAGCGAGGGUAACCAUACUCCCGAGAAAAUGGGCUAAACUCAUGUUGGCGGUACCCGUACCGCAAACCGACACAGGUAGUUGGGUAGAACAUACUAAGGCGUUGAGAGAUUCAUGGCUAAGGAACUAGGCAAACUGACCCCGUAACUUCGGGAUAAGGGGUCCUCACCUCCGGGUGAGGCGCAGAGAAUAGGUCCAGGCAACUGUUUAACAAAAACACAGGGCUGUGCGAACUCGAAAGAUGAAGUAUACAGCCUGACACCUGCCCGGUGCCGGAAGGUUAAGAGGAGAUGUCACCGCAAGGGAAGCAUUGAAUUGAAGCCCCGGUAAACGGCGGCCGUAACAAUAACGGUCCUAAGGUAGCGAAAUUCCUUGUCGGGUAAGUUCCGACCUGCACGAAUGGUGUAAUGAUCCGGACGCUGUCUCGGCCAUGAGCUCAGUGAAAUUGUAGUAUCGGUGAAGAUGCCGAUUACCCGCGAUGGGACGAAAAGACCCCGUGAACCUUUACUACAGCUUAGCAUUGACCUUGGUCAUCCGAUGUGUAGGAUAGGCCGGAGGCUUCGAAGCGGCGUCGCCAGGCGUUGUGGAGCCAUCCUUGAAAUACGGCCCUUUGGCUGUCUGAGGUCUAACGCGGAUAGUCGCGGACACUGCUUGGUGGGUAGUUUGACUGGGGUGGUCGCCUCCAAAAGCGUAACGGAGGCUUCCAAAGGUGCCCUCGGGCCGUUUGGUAAGCGGCCUUCAAGAGUGCAAUGGCAAAAGGGCGCUUGACUGGGAGGGAGACAUCCCGAGCAGGCAGGAAACUGGGGCAUAGUGAUCCGGCGGGUGUGUAUGGAAACUCCGUCGCUCAAAGGAUAAAAGGUACUCCGGGGAUAACAGGCUGAUCCCCCCCAAGAGCUCAUAUCGACGGGGUGGUUUGGCACCUCGAUGUCGGCUCGUCACAUCCUGGGGCUGGAGAAGGUCCCAAGGGUUGGGCUGUUCGCCCAUUAAAGUGGCACGCGAGCUGGGUUCAGAACGUCGUGAGACAGUUCGGUCUCUAUCUAUCGUGGGCGCAGGAGUUUUGAGUGGUGCUGUCACUAGUACGAGAGGACCGUGACGGACAGACCUCCGGUGUACCGGUUGUGCCGCCAGGCGCACCGCCGGGUAUCCGCGUCUGGAUCGGAUAAGCGCUGAAAGCAUCUAAGUGCGAAGCUUUCCACGAGAUUAGAACUCCAUUGAGGGUCGUCGCAGACGACGACGUUGAUAGGGCGCAGGUGUAAAGACGGCGACGUCAAAGCCGAGCGCUACUAAUUGCC